UACGUAGGGCGCAAGCGUUGUCCGGAAUUAUUGGGCGUAAAGAGCUCGUAGGCGGCCAGUUGCGUCUGCUGUGAAAUCCCGGGGCUCAACCCCGGGCGUGCAGUGGAUACGGGCUGGCUAGAGGCAGGCAGGGGAGAACGGAAUUCCCGGUGUAGCGGUGAAAUGCGUAGAGAUCGGGAGGAACACCAGUGGCGAAGGCGGCUCGCUGGGCCGGUCCUGACACUGAGACGCGAAGGCGUGGGGAGCGAACGGG
rnacentral:rRNA from 1 species